CUCGCAAACCCUUCCCAGGAGCUGGGGUUUAGGGGUGCGGUGGCCUCUUGCCCUUUACGCACUUGCUAUCUAGUGGACGUCCAAGAAAUGAAUUUGCAAUGAAUGAAUGAAUGAAUGACGAUCCCCCAUUAAGAAUAUAUAAUAACCAUAUUGCACGGUAUCGGGCGGGUGGGAGCACUGUACAUGGAUGGAGACAUCGAGAUGUCGGGUGCGUUCAGGCCUCAGUCUCCCUCCCUAGUCCCUAGAAGCCUAUUUUGGUCUGGAACUCCUAGCAAUUAAAAAAGAAGUUAUUAAGCUCCCUUUCCCCCCCCUCCCCCCUUUAAAGUGAAAUUCCCUCUUUCCCAUCUUCUCUCUCCUGCCGUGUUAAUAGAGUUUCAGAUUUGUGCGGGACCGGAUCGAUAGAUGUCAUCUAUUAAAGGGAACCUCGUGCCCACGCUCCACCCAGCACGGAUCCCGCUGUCUUUUGUCCGUCCUUCCAGACACAAACUCUCGCAGACCUCUCAUCGGGUGCCCGCCAGAGUCAGGAUCUCUGCUCUAGGCCCUGGCACGUGCUGGGUGCACCAAAUGCCCCAUCAGUGAAUGGGCCUGGAUAAGGUGGACGCUGGCGGUUUAGUUUCCAGCGCGAGCAAAACAGCUGUGCUGCUUAGUGGCUUGGCCGGUGAGCAGGGACGGA